ACGCAUGCGUAGCAGCCACUUGCUUUAAAUCAAUGGAAGGAGCGCUGAGAAAUGAUCGAGAUCAUGAGGAGUUCAGGAAAACUUCCUUAUCUUUUGUAAUACUUAUACAUUAUACUUUCCCGAAAGGAGUUAGUACCUGCUGUCCUGUCUGCACAGUAAAACGCGUUUAAUAGCGCAACAGAACGUCUCCUCAGGGACGUCAGAUGGAGAUAUUUGGUGCUGUAUUAUAUGUGUAAGUUAGUAUUUAUAUGAUGGGUGUAGUAGUGAGGAAUCUACAGAGUGUGGUGUCUCUGAGACGCGCGAGACUGAGAGCAGAUGUCGAAACACUGAGACUGAUCUUCGGUGUCCAGAGGUUUGACAUGAGCGUCAUAUGCGUGGACAACCGCAAGAUACAGAGAAUAAACAACGUGUACAGGAGACAGAACCAACCCACCGAUGUGCUCUCAUUCCCUUUCCACGAGGACCUGAGGCCUGGCAGACUGCCGUACGCACUCCACAGAGACGAGUAUAAUUUAGGGGACAUUUUCUUAGGAGUAGAAUAUAUAAUCCAACAGUGUAAAGAUACAUCUCAGGACCUUCACGAGACCCUUACAGUGGUCACAGCACAUGGAAUCUGCCACUUACUUGGAUACAGACAUGAAACUGAUGAAGAGUGCAAUGAGAUGCUACAGAAGGAAAGUUACAUUAUCAGAGAGUUCAACCGGAUAACAGGCAGCCGACUGGAACCCCUCACAAAGAGAUGCACGUAACACACGCACAUGAUGGCUACUGGAAACAUCUAAUUAAUGUACACUGAAAUGAACCAGAACACAGGAGAAUCAGAGGAGGAACAGGUGUUCUUGGGAUGAGUGGUGUGCUGUUACCCACGGCUCACUUCAGCUCUUCAUCAGUAGAAUGAUCGGCAUUGUGUGUCUGUGUGUG